AAAGUUUUUAUUGUUCUAUAAGUAUUCAUCAAUACAAGAAAACGUAUUGUUUAGAUAUUGUUGUUUAGGCAUUAUUUAAGUAUUCUCUAACUGAACUUGUUCUCUUUUCAGAUAAUUCAAAAAAGCGAAGAAAUGGCCCAAACCGUCCGCGAAUGUAAGGUGCUAAUUCGGAAAGUUCACCAAUCAGUAUGCCGACUGACUGGCGAAGAAAUCGACAACACACAAACAGAAAUUGCUUCCACCCUACCAUUAACAACACUAGCUGCAGCUUUGGAAAUGGAAGAAAAACUUAAAUGCGAAGAAUUUGCUACAGCAACGGAUGACAGUGUUGCGGCAUCCGUACACUGACGAAUUUCUGACUUUGUGUAACUGGGACGGUAGGGGAGGCAAACAACCGCUAUCAAAGUAUCUGUUGUCCAACAUAUUUUAUGAUUCUUUCAUCACUUGUGGACUUGCAAAUUUCGAGUAACAAAUGCGGAAGUCCAUCGAAAUGAGCCACCAUAGAUUUAAGCACAAAAAAUAUAGAAAGCGAAAAGCUGAAGAAUGAUAACAUUGUAAUAAUUUUUUAGACAUAUGUAUCUAUAUAAUAAUUUAUUGAAAUAAUUUUUAUAUUAUUAAAAAAAAUGUGAAGAUGAAA